CCAGCCGGCCGGGGUCGCUGGCAGGGGGCUGCCCCUUUCCGGCCGGCGGGCGCCCGAGGAACGGGCGGCGGUGCCCCUGACCCCGAUUCCUCCUCCGGCUUCCACCUCCUUCUCCUCUACUGGGGCGCUCGCUCUCUUUUCGCCCCCCUUUUUGUCCUUCUCGCUCUUUACUCUCGGUGCUCCAUGGGGCUGAAGGAGAAGGGCGAGGUGGUCCCACUGGAGCCGGUGCGAGACGACGGGCGGGCGGCUGCUGGAGCCGGCUCUUCUCCGCGUCCGCCCGAGCCCGGUUCUUCUCGGGGGCGCUGCCGCUGUUACCGGUCGGCGCUCCUCCGGCGCGGGGAGAAGCUCUCUCGGGCCGUCGGCGUUACUCCGCUCUCUCCGGCUUCGACUCCCGUCAGUGCCGGGACGCCGGGCUGGCUCCUCGCUGCGACGCGGGCAGCAGCCGGGUUAUUAGGGUUAUUAGUGUUAUUGUCAUUAUCUCUCCGUUCCCCUGUGGUUCUGUGUCUCUCCACCACUUUCAGACCAGCGCAUUAUAACGCCGGCGAGAGGCGGAGCCAGGACAAAGAUCUGAAAGGGUGGUGGGUGGAGAAGCAAGGUAGCAAAGGUCCCUCCCCUUCCCGGGUAUUUCGAACGAAGCCGCAGUUCCGCGCGACUUCGCAGAGCCGGCCCGCCUCCCAGGUGUAAAAUGCAAAAUGACUUAUAGGUGGCAGAGCUGAACCUGUUACGUGCAGUGAUUUAUUUUAAUAGCGCCGUAUAAAGCAACAAGUUGUAAUAUGACAGCUCAACAACCUGUUGGAAAAUAAUACAUGGCUUCGCAAUUGUGAAUUCCUAAUGAUUUAUGUAGUCUGACAAAAUAGUUUCAGUCCUGGUCCCUCUUUCUUUCUGUCAUAAGCACACCUGGUGCAGAGGUAGAAUGGGAACAGGUAGGCAAUGCUUUGGGAUUUUGCUACAAGGGAUUUAGUCAAAACCUUAACCUUAGUUUUAGGUGUGUUAUUCUGCAUAUAGUAGUGUUGCUUGAUCUCUUCUGGAUGAUAUGUUUGUAACCUCUCUCUUACAACUGUCACUCUCCAGUAAAAUCUUUUGUGUGUGUGUGUGGUUAUUUGGUUUUGUUUUUGUUGGUUUGUUGAUUUUCUUUUAAAAAAAAUAAUAACUAACAUUUUUUUAAACAC
rnacentral:lncRNA from 1 species